rnacentral:ncRNA from 1 species
UUUCUUCGGGGUUGGGUGACAGCAUCGGCUGAAUUCCCUACCGGCGGUAUAGUCCGCGACCCGCGCAAGCGGCUGAUUUGGUGAAAUUCCAAAACCGACAGUAAAGUCUGGAUGAGAGAAGA